rnacentral:rRNA from 1 species
UACGUAGGGAGCAAGCGUUGUUCGGAUUUACUGGGCGUAAAGGGCGCGUAGGCGGCGUGUCAAGUCGAUUGUGAAAUCUCCGGGCUUAACUCGGAACGGCCAAUCGAUACUGACGUGCUAGAGUGCAGAAAGGGCAAUCGGAAUUCUUGGUGUAGCGGUGAAAUGCGUAGAUAUCAGGAGGAACACCGAUGGCGAAGGCAGGUCUCUGGGCAUUAACUGACGCUGAGGAGCGAAAGCAUGGGGAGCGAACAGG